GACUGGAGUCUGCUACUCAUGUCUGAAUAUGGCUAAAGGAGUGACUUGGCUUUUCUAGGCUCCAGUUCUUUAAAUACUAAAUAAGAGCAACAUAGUGGACAACUAGAUAUCCAACCACGUAACUUGGUGACUUGGAAGUUCUUGUGUCUAUGCUUCAUGGAUGGGAAUAGCCCUAUGACAGACACAGCAGGAAGGCCUGGGAUGAGUGGAGUGAUCAAACACCAAGGCAGGGACAAGGGAUCUUCAUGAAAGAGGGGACUCCUGCACGUCUCAGUGUUCAAAGCUAGCAUCAUGGCAGAGGAACAUCGGCUUCUUCAUGGUGCUUCCAGCAGGUGAGCCUCUGUGAAUAACUAUCUAGAUUAACUGAGUUGGGAACACCUAGCCUAAGGAGAAUGGCACCAUUUCCAAGGCUGGAUUGCUGGAUUGCUUCUCAAGAACAUCAUCAUGGAAUGUUUUCUUUAAGCUGACCAGUUUGCUGGAAUAAUCUACUUAAAGU
ensembl:lincRNA